GACGAACGCUGGCGGCGUGCUUAACACAUGCAAGUCGAACGGAAAGGCCCUGCUUUUGUGGGGUGCUCGAGUGGCGAACGGGUGAGUAACACGUGAGUAACCUGCCCUUGACUUUGGGAUAACUUCAGGAAACUGGGGCUAAUACCGGAUAGGAGCUCCUGCUGCAUGGUGGGGGUUGGAAAGUUUCGGCGGUUGGGGAUGGACUCGCGGCUUAUCAGCUAGUUGGUGGGGUAGUGGCUUACCAAGGCUUUGACGGGUAGCCGGCCUGAGAGGGUGACCGGCCACAUUGGGACUGAGAUACGGCCCAGACUCCUACGGGAGGCAGCAGUGGGGAAUAUUGCACAAUGGGCGGAAGCCUGAUGCAGCAACGCCGCGUGCGGGAUGACGGCCUUCGGGUUGUAAACCGCUUUCGCCUGUGACGAAGCGUGGGUGACGGUAAUGGGUAAAGAAGCACCGGCUAACUACGUG
rnacentral:rRNA from 1 species